rnacentral:rRNA from 1 species
GAUGAACGCUAGCGGCAGGCUUAACACAUGCAAGUCGAGGGGCAUCGAGAGAGUAGCAAUACUUUUGUCGGCGACCGGCGGACGGGUGCGUAACGCGUAUGCAACCUACCUUAUACAGGGGGAUAACCUUUCGAAAGGGAGACUAAUACCGCAUAACAUUACUUUGAGGCAUCUUGAGGUAAUUAAAUCUUCGGAGGUAUAAGAUGGACUCGCGUCCGAUUAGAUAGUUGGUGAGGUAACGGCUCACCAAGUCGACGAUCGGUAGCCGGACUGAGAGGUUGAACGGCCACAUUGGGACUGAGACACGGCCCAGACUCCUACGGGAGGCAGCAGUGGGGGAUAUUGCACAAUGGAGGAAACUCUGAUGCAGCAACGCCGCGUGAGGGAAGAAGGUUUUCGGAUUGUAAACCUCUGUUUUUAGUGAAGAAAAAAAUGACGGUAGCUAAAGAGGAAGCCACGGCUAACUACGUG